rnacentral:rRNA from 1 species
CAGCCGCCGCGGUAAUACGUAGGUCCCGAGCGUUGUCCGGAUUUAUUGGGCGUAAAGGGAGCGCAGGCGGUCAGGAAAGUCUGGAGUAAAAGGCUAUGGCUCAACCAUAGUGUGCUCUGGAAACUGUCUGACUUGAGUGCAGAAGGGGAGAGUGGAAUUCCAUGUGUAGCGGUGAAAUGCGUAGAUAUAUGGAGGAACACCAGUGGCGAAAGCGGCUCUCUGGUCUGUCACUGACGCUGAGGCUCGAAAGCGUGGGUAGCGAACAGGAUUAGAUACCCCGGUAGUCCCUGUCUCUUAUACA